GACGAACGCUGGCGGCGUGCUUAACACAUGCAAGUCGAACGGUGAUGCUCCAGCUUGCUGGCGUGGAUCAGUGGCGAACGGGUGAGUAACACGUGAGCAACCUGCCCCAGACUCUGGAAUAAGCGCUGGAAACGGCGUCUAAUACUGGAUACGAAACUGGCCCGCAUGGGCAUGGUUUGGAAAGUUUUUCGGUUUGGGAUGGGCUCGCGGCCUAUCAGCUUGUUGGUGAGGUAAUGGCUCACCAAGGCGACGACGGGUAGCCGGCCUGAGAGGGCGACCGGCCACACUGGGACUGAGACACGGCCCAGACUCCUACGGGAGGCAGCAGUGGGGAAUAUUGCACAAUGGGCGCAAGCCUGAUGCAGCGACGCCGCGUGAGGGAUGACGGCCUUCGGGUUGUAAACCUCUUUCAGCAGGGAAGAAGCGAAAGUGACGGUACCUGCAGAAGAAGCACCGGCUAACUACGUG
rnacentral:rRNA from 1 species